rnacentral:rRNA from 1 species
UGUGUAGGCGGUUGUUUAAGUUUGGUGUGAAAUCUCCCGGCUCAACUGGGAGGGUGCGCCGAAUACUGAAUGACUAGAGUGCGGGAGAGGAAAGUGGAAUUCCUGGUGUAGCGGUGAAAUGCGUAGAUAUCAGGAGGAACACCGGUGGUGUAGGCGGCUUUCUGGACCGUAACUGACGCUGAGACACGAAAGCGUGGGUAGCAAACA